rnacentral:misc_RNA from 1 species
GAUGAAGAACGUAGCGAAAUGCGAUACUUGGUGUGAAUUGCAGAAUCCCGUGAACCAUCGAGUCUUUGAACGCAAGUUGCGCCCGAAGCCAUUAGGCCGAGGGCACGCCUGCCUGGGCGUCACACGUCGUUGCCCCCCCAUCUACUCCUUCGGGAUUGCGGGGGGCGGAUGAUGGCCUCCCGUGCGCCUCGCCGCGCGGUUGGCAUAAAUGCCAAGUCCUCGGCGACGCACGCCACGACAAUCGGUGGUUGCGAAACCUCGGUUGCCCGUCGUGUGCGGUCGUCGCGCAUCGAGGGCUCGAAAAAAUCGCCGGGUUCCGGCUCGGCUUUCAACGCGACCCCAGGUCAGGCGGGGUUACCCGCUGAAUUUAAGCAUAUCAAUAAGCGGAGGA